GAUGAACGCUAGCGGCAGGCCUAACACAUGCAAGUCGAGGGGUAGAAGCUUUCGGGCUUUGAGACCGGCGCACGGGUGCGUAACGCGUAUGCAAUCUGCCUUGUACUGAGGGAUAGCCCAGAGAAAUUUGGAUUAACACCUCAUAGUAUUUUUGCCUGGCAUCAGGUGAUUAUUAAAGGUUACGGUACAAGAUGAGCAUGCGUCCCAUUAGCUAGUUGGUAUGGUAACGGAAUACCAAGGCUACGAUGGGUAGGGGUCCUGAGAGGGAGAUCCCCCACACUGGUACUGAGACACGGACCAGACUCCUACGGGAGGCAGCAGUGAGGAAUAUUGGUCAAUGGGCGCAAGCCUGAACCAGCCAUGCCGCGUGCAGGAUGAAGCAUCUAUGGUGUGUAAACUGCUUUUGUACGGGAAGAAACACUGCUACGUGUAGCAGCUUGACGGUACCGUAAGAAUAAGGAUCGGCUAACUCCGUGCCAGCCGCCGCAGUAAAAC
rnacentral:rRNA from 1 species